AACAAACACGGCUCAAUUAUAACAAAAUAGAGUCAAGACUUCAUCCAACAAUUGGUUCCAUCAACCCUAGAUAAUAGUUUUAGCUACUCAUACUAAUGGAAAAUAAAUUACUAAAAUAAUUCAUAAUCAACAAAUAGAAGUAUGAAGAAGAAGAUGAAAACUCUUAGGAAAUUAUCCGUCUUCUUUCCCUCGUUCUUGCCUCUAAAAUCUUCUAAAAACAGCUAUAUCCCACUUAUGGGCGAGUUUAGGUUUCAUAUAGGUUUACGUUAGUCGCCUAGGAAAUUACAUAAUUAACCCUGCGUGUUUGGCUUUCGUCCGCCUGUCCGCGGCAGCGGAUUCGACCGCGGAUCCACCCGCAGAUUUUCACUGCCUCACUGCCUUGAGUUCGCAGACCAAUUCGCGGCCUACUCCGCGGCCGCGCACCUGGAGGGGUCGUCUCGCUUGCUUUUCUCGCUCCUUUUCGACCGGGCUAACCUUCGAUUGGCCUUUCACACUCCAUGUUGACUCCAAAACACUCGUUAGCUCCCUCCUAGCUCGGAGUAGCUCCUGCAAAGCAUCAAAUUCUUAAUUAGAGCAUUUUGUUAUCUUUUAGCAUUCAAAUAUCAAUAAAGUGCGGCUAAAUUAGAGUGUAAGUAGUGUCUAAAUUGUAUAAAUAUAACCUACUAUCAAUAAGUUAAAUUUUUUCUAAAUUUAAAAAGUUAUUAUUCUUUUUGUAACAAACUAAAAAGAAAAUAUUACCAUAUGAACUGAAACAGUUGGAGUAAUAUAUAUUAACGUAAUGUAUUACCAGCAAGCUU
rnacentral:lncRNA from 1 species